rnacentral:sRNA from 1 species
UUUGCCCGACCAUCUGUAAGUCACACGGCUGCACCGCCGAAGGCCUCUGUUGCCACAGCGAGUGCCUGGGCAACUGUUCUCAGCCCGACGACCCCACCAAGUGCGUGGCCUGCCGCAACUUCUACCUGGACGGCAGGUGUGUGGAGACCUGCCCGCCCCCGUACUACCACUUCCAGGACUGGCGCUGUGUGAACUUCAGCUUCUGCCAGGACCUGCACCACAAAUGCAAGAACUCGCGGAGGCAGGGCUGCCACCAGUACGUCAUUCACAACAACAAGUGCAUCCCUGAGUGUCCCUCCGGGUACACGAUGAAUUCCAGCAACUUGCUGUGCACCCCAUGCCUGGGUCCCUGUCCCAAGGUGUGCCACCUCCUAGAAGGCGAGAAGACCAUCGACUCGGUGACGUCUGCCCAGGAGCUCCGAGGAUGCACCGUCAUCAACGGGAGUCUGAUCAUCAACAUUCGAGGAGGCAACAAUCUGGCAGCUGAGCUAGAAGCCAACCUCGGCCUCAUUGAAGAAAUUUCAGGGUAUCUAAAAAUCCGCCGAUCCUACGCUCUGGUGUCACUUUCCUUCUUCCGGAAGUUACGUCUGAUUCGAGGAGAGACCUUGGAAAUCGGGAACUACUCCUUCUAUGCCUUGGACAACCAGAACCUAAGGCAGCUCUGGGAUUGGAGCAAACACAACCUCACCAUCACUCAGGGGAAACUCUUCUUCCACUAUAACCCCAAACUCUGCUUGUCAGAAAUCCACAAGAUGGAAGAAGUUUCAGGAACCAAGGGGCGCCAGGAGAGAAACGACAUUGCCCUGAAGACCAAUGGGGACCAGGCAUCCUGUGAAAAUGAGUUACUUAAAUUUUCUUACAUUCGGACAUCUUUUGACAAGAUCUUGCUGAGAUGGGAGCCGUACUGGCCCCCCGACUUCCGAGACCUCUUGGGGUUCAUGCUGUUCUACAAAGAGGCCCCUUAUCAAAAUGUGACGGAGUUCGACGGGCAGGAUGCAUGUGGUUCCAACAGUUGGACGGUGGUAGACAUUGACCCACCCCUGAGGUCCAACGACCCCAAAUCACAGAACCACCCAGGGUGGCUGAUGCGGGGUCUGAAGCCCUGGACCCAGUAUGCCAUCUUCGUGAAGACCCUGGUCACCUUUUCGGAUGAACGCCGGACCUAUGGGGCCAAGAGUGACAUCAUUUAUGUCCAGACAGAUGCCACCAACCCCUCCGUGCCCCUGGAUCCAAUCUCAGUGUCUAACUCAUCAUCCCAGAUUAUUUUGAAGUGGAAACCCCCCUCCGACCCCAAUGGCAACAUCACCCACUACCUGGUUUUCUGGGAGAGGCAGGCGGAAGACAGUGAGCUGUUCGAACUGGAUUAUUGCCUCAAAGGGCUGAAGCUGCCCUCGAGGACCUGGUCUCCACCAUUCGAGUCUGAAGAUUCUCAGAAGCACAACCAGAGUGAGUAUGAGGAUUCGGCCGGCGAAUGCUGCUCCUGUCCAAAGACAGACUCUCAGAUCCUGAAGGAGCUGGAGGAGUCCUCGUUUAGGAAGACGUUUGAGGAUUACCUGCACAACGUGGUUUUCGUCCCCAGGUCAGGACUUGGCGCUGGACUCUCUUAGUGGGUGCCAAUUGGCUUGGUGUUGGUGGAAGGUCAUUACUUAGGGACCGAGAGGUAGUGGGACCCAGAGACGGCAGAAGGGUGGGUGGAGUCUGAAUGGAGCCCUUUCCUGGGUGGAGGAAGAGAUCUUGCAAUUUCGAAAUUUCGAGGGGAAUUUUAUCAGGAAGAGCAAAUAAUCGCACAAAAGGGGAAAAAUGGACAAAACUCAGCAUUUGCCUUUCUUACCUCUCCUGAGCUGGUCUCCAUGUGAGUUCCAAAACAAACUCCGUUAGACAAUUAACAUUUUUUUCUCUCUCUCUCUUUUUUUUUUUUUUUUUUUUUUUGACAGAGUCUCACUCUAUCGUCCAGGCUGGAGUGCAGUGGUGCAAUUUCAGCUCACCCUUUCCGGGUUCAAGUGAUUCUUGUGCCUCAGCCUCCCAAGUAGCUGGGACUACAGGUGCGCAGCACCACGCCCAGCUAAUUUUUAUAUUUUUAGUAGAGACGGGGUUUUGCCAUGUUGGCCAGGCUGGUCUCGAACCCCUGACCUCAGGUGAUCUGCCUGCCUCGGCCUCCCAAAGUGCUGGGAUUAUAGGUGUGAGCCACCGUGCCUGGCCAUGAUGAUUGAGGCUUUAGCUGGGUGCAGUGGUAUAAGCCUGUGGUCCCAGCUACUUGGGAAGCCGAGGUGGUAGGGUUGCUUGAGGCCAGCCUGGGCAACAUAAUGAGACUCUAUCGCUACAAAAAAAAAAAAAAAAAAAAAAAAAAAC